rnacentral:lncRNA from 1 species
AUCCUACAACCAACAAAAGCUCCAACAAUCCAUCCAUCCACAAUUUAAUCGUGUUUCUCCUGCUUAACACAUGUCUUAUUCUAUCAAUCCAUGAGACAUUAAACUCCAAAUAGGAUAGACUUGUCUUGUGACAAUCGUAUCCCAUCUCAUCUUAUCCAUAUCUUAAACAAUUUCUUUAUACAAAUCAUUCUUCUCUCAUCAAGACACUCCUCGUUUAUUGAAAACUUAGAAAUCAAUAAUUCUUAAAUGACUUAACAAUUAUAAUUUGAAAAUCGUCUCACCACCAUUUUACGAAUUUCAAUAAUAAUUAUAUAUAUAAAUAGCAUAUAAAUAUAUAAUAAUCAUUUCUUUACUCCCAUGCAAAGUUUACCAUUCAAAUAACUUUGCAAAAUAAAAUAAAAUAAAAGAUAUAUUUCAUUUCCAUGCUUACCUAGCCUCGUAAGCAAACGACGAAUUCCGAUCGUCUCCAACUCGUAUGAUUCCACGAGUUUCGCUUAAUCGCCGAAUAUCUAUAAUUAUAAAUCAUAGAAGGCUACCCGGCGUUUAACUUGGCGAACGACGAGAGUUCGCAAGAGCCUUUAUUCACUUUAAAGUGAAUAAACGAAGGAAAAGAGGGUUGUUUCCUUGAAUUCUCGACUGUGAGGGCCGAAGAGAAAGAGUGAACGGUGUCCAGCGGCAAAAGGCCUGCUCUCUAGCCGUCGCAGGAGACGAGGCGAUCGUGAGAGAGAGCAAGAACGAGAUGAAACGUUCUUGAGAUCGUUCACUAACGUCGUUUCGCCGGAGGAUAUUGCGGCUAUUGGUUUGGGAGAUGUAGAGAGUGUUUGAGCAUUUCGAUUGUUGGUGGUGGUAGCCUGUAGAUAGGUGAAGGGCUACGCGUUCUCGGUUUGCAGCCUCGUGGCCGGUCGGCGACGAAAUAAACCGGCAAAGAGGGCCCACUCGUGCUUCUGUUCUAAUUUCAGCGAGAGAACAGGGGGCUUUUCUCAGCGUUUCCCUUUCUGUUCCACGGAUUUCUCGGCUGAUUGUGCGAGGAUGGCGGCGACGACGGUGGCCGGCGGAGCUCUAUUGGCGAGUUUGGAGUGGCGACGUGAUUAAGCAGAACAGCUGCUAUCCUGCUUUAACGGUUGCUGUUAAGAUAUGAUCGGAGAGGGAGCUUGGAGCUGGAAAAGGAGGGAGGGGUGGUGGUGUUCCACGGUGAUGGCGCGAAUAGGCGAGGCGGCGGCGCGACGGGGGCGGCGCGCGGCUACUGCUCUCGUGUUCUGCUGACAGCAGCUGCUACGACUCCCAGCUCCUGCUGCUGCUCGGCUGCUGCUGUCUUGAAGGAGCUGCUGUUGUGCCGGCAAGAGGCGGCUGAUGGUGAUCGGCGAGUUCGACAGCAGCGGUGGAAGUUGGCGGCGGCGGCUGGAGCUUGGCGAUGGAGAGAGUUUGAGCGAGAGAGAGCUGAGCGAGAGUGAGAGAUAGAGGAACAAAAUAAAUUUGAAAGCACGAAAAAUCGAGAGAGAGAGAGAUAGAGGAGAGGAGAGAGAGAGGGAUUUGUGGGCCCCAUUGAGGAUAUACUUGUCUUUUCACUAGAAAAUGGCUAUUUUUACUAUAGUUUUAUAGUUGUGGCUUUUUUUAAAAUUGUUUUUAUAUUUUAGGC